rnacentral:tRNA from 1 species
GGGGCCGUGGUCUAGCUUGGCUAUGAUUCGCGGCUCGGGCCCGCGAGGUCCUGGGUUCAAUCGGCCGAGGGGCCGGAACAGAUCCCAGCGGCCCCA